rnacentral:rRNA from 1 species
UCUUACCCAUGUCUUUUGAGUACCUUCGUUUCCUCGGCGGGUCCGCCCGCCGAUUGGACAACAUUCAAACCCUUUGCAGUUGCAAUCAGCGUCUGAAAAAACAUAAUAGUUACAACUUUCAACAACGGAUCUCUUGGUUCUGGCAUCGAUGAAGAACGCAGCGAAAUGCGAUAAGUAGUGUGAAUUGCAGAAUUCAGUGAAUCAUCGAAUCUUUGAACGCACAUUGCGCCCCUUGGUAUUCCAUGGGGCAUGCCUGUUCGAGCGUCAUUUGUACCUUCAAGCUCUGCUUGGUGUUGGGUGUUUGUCUCGCCUCUGCGUGUAGACUCGCCUUAAAACAAUUGGCAGCCGGCGUAUUGAUUUCGGAGCGCAGUACAUCUCGCGCUUUGCACUCAUAACGACGACGUCCAAAAGUACAUUUUUACACUCUUGACCUCGGAUCAGGUAGGGAUACCCGCUGAACUUAAGCAUAUCAAUA